ensembl:snRNA U1 U1 spliceosomal RNA
ACUCAUACCUGGCAGGGGAGAUACCAUGAUUAUGAAAGUGGUUUUCCCAGGGUGAGGCUCAUGCAUUGCACUUCAGGUGUGCUGAUCACUGUGAUUUCCCCAAAUGUGGGAAAAUCACCUGCAUAAUUUGUGGUAGUGGGGGACUGUGUUUGUGGUUUCCCCUG